GUGGGUGUACGAGACUUGAGAGGAUCUGUCCCUAGUACGAGAGGACCGGGAUGGACACACCUCUGGUGGACCUGUCAUGGCGCCAGCUGUGCAGCAGGGUAGCUAAGUGUGGACUAGAUAACCGCUGAAAGCAUCUAAGCGGGAAGCCUACCUCAAGAUAAGAUUUCCCUAGGACUUUAUGUCCUCUAAAGAGCCGUUCGAGACUAGGACGUUGAUAGGUUGGAUGUGGAAGCAUAGUGAUAUGUGAAGCUGACCAAUACUAAUUGCUCGU
rnacentral:rRNA from 1 species